CAGCAUAGAUUUAUUUCUACAAAUUUUUCGUUCGACUAUUUAUUUUUGCAAAAUCAUAAAACAAAAAAUAAAAAAGUUCUCCCCGAUUAAAACAAGCGCAAGUACUUCAUUGCAUAGUCCGGCACAGAAGCCCACGAACGGCCCAACACCAGAGGUGGUAUAUAACAGCUUCCAAACCCUAACAUCUCAUCCCAUCCGUUCCAUCUACUCACUUCCUCUCCCGGACAAGCAGCAGCAACCGCCGCCUGCUGCCUCCUCUGUCUUCUCCCAUCCGUUCCCUCCCCUCACUGCCUUUCUUCAGGACCAGGAAGAAGGACUCAGCAGCGAGGGUGACUCGAUGACCUCGCGCGGUCACGCCUGCAGCUUGAGCGCCCCAUGGUUCUGCGCCAGGCAACCACGCGAGGAGGCGCCAGCUGUUCCAAAAGACCGCAGUGAUGUGCUGAGUGCUGUGAUGUGCCUCCAGGAGCACACGCAUCUCCUUUAGGCUUAAUUUGGAAGCCAAGGGCAAGAUAACCCAGGGAAGAUAACCUAGGGAAGGGGGGCCAGCGGGGUUUAAUCUGUCAACUCGUUUCCCUGGUUAGGCUUAAUUUGGAAGCCAAGGGCAAGAUAACCCAGGGAAGAUAACCUAGGGAAGGGGGGGUGGGGUUUAAUCUGUCAACUCGUUUCCCUGGUUGGCUCUCCCCCACGGGGUAUCCCUUCCCUGUCAUUGUUUGGGAGCUAAGGAGGGGAAUAUUCAGGAAAAAAAUCUCAAAAAAGCAGUAAAAAAAUAAGAAAAAAUUAAAAAUACUAUAACAAAACUCACAAUGGAUCAUUGAAAGCAUCAAGUACCAUGAAAGGCUCCGAAAAAAAAUCUUUAUACAAACACAUAUAUCUCAAGGAUGAAAUCAAUUAAGUUUAAUUUAUGAAAGUACUUUGCAUUCACUAGCUACAUAAGUUUUAAUAUCAUCUCCCAAAUAUACUGCUACACCCGUCUUUGUCCCGCAAGCCGCAAAGGUCUCAGUCUCAAAUCUCAUGUCUUCGAGAAUCUAUAGGAACUUUGUAGGUAAAUUAAGAUGAACAAAAAAAAAUGCAUGCAUGAAUUUGGACUACACAAAUCACAUAUGCAAAUGCGAAAUGCUCCUCAAUGACUAUGAUGAGUUGUCCAUAAAAUAAAGUUAUGCAUUGAACUCGUAUGUCAUCUAAAGAUUCAAAUCAUAUUGCACCUGGACCUCCGUUAAUAAGCAGACGAGUUCUUCCUUUCUUCCCUCAUCUCUCAUGUGAAGUUGGCACAAGG
rnacentral:lncRNA from 1 species